rnacentral:lncRNA from 7 species
AUGCGGCCCCGCGCCGGCCCCGCCCGCCACCGUCUCGUAGUAACCAAUGGACGCGUCGCCGAACGUCACGUUGUUCAUACAGCCCUAUGGGAGGGGGGAAUGGGGUCACGUGGUACUAUAACGGGUAUGGGGUCACGUGGUACUAUAAGGGGUAUGGGGUCACACAGCCCUAUGGGGGAAUGGGGUCACACAGCCCUAUGGGGGGGGGGAAUGGGGUCACGUGGUACUAUAACGGGUGUGGGGUCACGUGGUACUAUAACGGCUAUGGGGUCACGUGGUAUUAUAAUGGCUAUGGGGUCAUACAGCCCUAUGGGGGGGGAAUGGGGUCAUACAGCCCUAUGGGGGAAUGGGGUCACGUGGUACUAUAACGGGUAUGGGGUCACACAGCCCUAUAGGAGUAUUGGGUCAUACAGCCCUAUGGGGAGAAUGGGGUCACGUGGUACUAUAACAGGUAUGGGGUCACACAGCCCUAUAGGGGUAUGGGGUCAUACAGCCCUAUGGGGGAGAAUGGGGUCACGUGGUACUAUAACGGGUAUGGGGUCACACAGCCCUAUGGGGGUAUGGGGUCAUACAGCCCUAUGGGGGAAUGGGGUCACGUGGUACUAUAGGGGGAAUGGGGUCACACAGCCCUAUGGGGGAAUGGGGUCACGUGGUACUAUAAUGGCUAUGGGGUCAUACAGCCCUAUGGGGGGGGCUAUGGGGGGUCACACAGCCCUAUGGGUGAAUGGGGUCCACGUGGUACUAUAACGGCUAUGGGGUCAGACAGCCCUAUGGGGGAAUGGGGUCACGUGGUACUAUAACGGGUAUGGGGUCACACAGCCCUAUAGGGAGAAUGGGGUCAUACAGCCCUAUGGGGGAAUGGGGUCACACAGCCCUAUGGGGGAAUGGGGUCACACAGCCCUAUGGGGGAAUGGGGUCACAGCCCUAUGGGGGAAUGGGGUCACACAGCCCUAUAAGGGGUAUGGGGUCACACAGCCCUAUGGGGGAAUGGGGUCAAGGCCCUAUGGGGAGGGGUCAACGCCCUAUGGGGAAUGGGGUCAUACAGCCCUAUGGGGGUAUGGGGUCACACAGCCCUAUGGGGAAUGGGUCAACAGCCUAUGGGGGAAUGGGGUCAGAUGGCCCUAUAGGGGGAGAGGGGUCACACAGCCCUAUGGGGGAAUGGGGUCAUACAGCCCUAUGGGGGGUAUGGGGUCACGUGGUACUAUAACGGGUAUGGGGUCACACAGCCCUAUGGGGGGGGAAUGGGGUCACGUGGUACUAUAAUGGCUAUGAGGUCACGUGGUACUAUACCGGCUAUGGGGUCAUACAGCCCUAUGGGGGAGAAUGGGGUCACGUGGCACUAUAAUGGCUAUGGGGUCAUACAGCCCUAUGGGGGAAUGGGGUCACGUGGUACUAUAACGGCUAUGGGGUCAGACAGCCCUAUGGGGGAAUGGGGUCAUACAGCCCUAUGGGGGAAUGGGGUCACACAGCCCUAUGGGGGGAAUGGGGUCACGUGGUACUAUAAGGGGUAUGUGGUCACGUGGUACUAUAACGGGUUUGGGGUCAUACAGCCCUAUGGGGGAAUGGGGUCACACAGCCCUAUAAGGGGUAUGGGGUCACACAGCCCUAUGGGGGAAUGGGGUCAUACACCCCUAUAAGGGGUAUGGGGUCACACAGCCCUAUGGGGGAAUGGGGUCAUACAGCCCUAUGGGGGAAUGGGGUCAUACAGCCCUAUAAGGGGUAUGGGGUCACACAGCCCUAUGGGGGAAUGGGGUCAUACAGCCCCAUG